rnacentral:rRNA from 1 species
AGCAGCCGCGGUAAUUCCAGCUCCAAUAGCGUAUAUUAAAGUUGCUGCAGUUAAAAAGCUCGUAGUUGAAUUUCGGGACCACUAUGUCGGUCGUGCCUCGGUACGUACUGGCAUUGUUGGUUUCUACCUUCUGACGAACCAUGAUGUCAUUUAUUGGUGUCGUGGGGAAUCAGGACUGUUACUUUGAAAAAAUUAGAGUGUUUAAAGCAGGCUCACGCUUGAAUACAUUAGCAUGGAAUAAUGAAAUAGGACGUUUGAUUCUAUUUUGUUGGUUUCUAGGAUCGACGUAAUGAUUAAUAGGGAUAGUUGGGGGCAUUAGUAUUCAAUUGUCAGAGGUGAAAUUCUUGGAUUUAUUGAAGACUAACUACUGCGAAAGCAUUUGC